rnacentral:rRNA from 1 species
UACAGAGGGUGCAAGCGUUAAUCGGAAUUACUGGGCGUAAAGCGCGCGUAGGUGGUUUGUUAAGUCGGAUGUGAAAUCCCCGGGCUCAACCUGGGAACUGCAUCCGAAACUGGCAAGCUAGAGUAUGGUAGAGGGUAGUGGAAUUUCCUGUGUAGCGGUGAAAUGCGUAGAUAUAGGAAGGAACACCAGUGGCGAAGGCGACUACCUGGACUGAUACUGACACUGAGGUGCGAAAGCGUGGGGAGCAAACAGG